GGUUAAGUUAAUAAGGGCGCACGGUGGAUGCCUUGGCACUAGGAGCCGACGAAGGACGUGACAAACGACGAUAUGCCUUGGGUAGCUGUAAGUAAGCGAUGAUCCAGGGAUUUCCGAAUGGGGGAACCCAACAGGUAGUACCUGUUACCCACAUCUGUUAAGGAUGUGAGGAGGAAGACGCAGUGAACUGAAACAUCUAAGUAGCUGCAGGAAGAGAAAGCAAAAGCGAUUGCCUUAGUAGCGGCGAGCGAAACGGCAGAAGGGCAAACCGAAGAGUUUACUCUUCGGGGUUGUAGGACUGCAAUGUGGACUCAAAGAUUAUAGAAGAAUGAUUUGGGAAGAUCAGCCAAAGAGAGUAAUAGCCUCGUAUUUAAAAUAGUCUUUGUACCUAGCAGUAUCCUGAGUACGGCGGGACACGUGAAAUCCCGUCGGAAUCUGGGAGGACCAUCUCCCAACCCUAAAUACUCCCUAGUGACCGAUAGUGAACCAGUACCGUGAGGGAAAGGUGAAAAGCACCCCGGGAGGGGAGUGAAAUAGAACCUGAAACCGUGUGCCUACAACAAGUUCGAGCCCGUUAAUGGGUGAGAGCGUGCCUUUUGUAGAAUGAACCGGCGAGUUACGUUAUGAUGCGAGGUUAAGUUGAAGAGACGGAGCCGUAGGGAAACCGAGUCUGAAUAGGGCGCCUUAGUAUCAUGACGUAGACCCGAAACCAUGUGACCUACCUAUGAGCAGGUUGAAGGUGCGGUAAGACGCACUGGAGGACCGAACCAGGGCACGUUGAAAAGUGCUUGGAUGACUUGUGGGUAGCGGAGAAAUUCCAAACGAACUUGGAGAUAGCUGGUUCUCUCCGAAAUAGCUUUAGGGCUAGCGUCGACAUUAGAGAUUCUUGGAGGUAGAGCACUGUUUGGGUGAGGGGUCCAUCCCGGAUUACCAAUCUCAGAUAAACUCCGAAUGCCAAUGAAUUAUGGUCGGCAGUCAGACUGCGAGUGCUAAGAUCCGUAGUCGAAAGGGAAACAGCCCAGACCACCAGCUAAGGUCCCAAAAUAAUUGUUAAGUGGAAAAGGAUGUGGGGUUGCACAGACAACUAGGAUGUUAGCUUAGAAGCAGCUAUUCAUUCAAAGAGUGCGUAAUAGCUCACUAGUCGAGUGAC
rnacentral:rRNA from 1 species